AUGCCCGGCGGGCGGGUGGCACGUUGCCAUGCGUACGCGUGGCAGCACAGUAUCUUAAAAACAAUGGCGUGCUUUCGCGAGAGUUCGCAACCAUCUCCGCCUUCUCGUCUUCCGUCUAAAAAGCACCGGUCUCCUUCCUGUCCUGAGCACACCACCACGCCACAACACCAAAGAGGAAGCGUACGAGGGAGAGGCGCUCGGCUCGCCUGCGUCUGUCUCCGCUUCUCGCGAGCCCGGCGUCACCCGCCGCCGGGCACGCACCACGCCCACGCCCACGCCCACGCAGGUACUCCUCGCCCUUUCUGCCUGUCUUCUCCUCUUAUAUGUCUUAUUAAUCAUAAGGUUGCUAUGAAGAAGACUAUGAUCGAGCUGAGCAUGCAUGAUCUGUCUGCGGCUGCAAACAGGCCGACGGCUAAAUCUUGA
rnacentral:rRNA from 1 species